rnacentral:misc_RNA from 1 species
AGCAGCCGCGGUAAUUCCAGCUCCAAUAGCGUAUAUUAAAGUUGUUACAGUUAAAAGCUCGUAGUUGAAUUUCGGGAUCAAUAUGUCGGUCGUGCCUUGGUACGUACUGGUAUCAUUGGUCUCUCCUUUCUGACGAACCAUGAUGUCAUUAAUUUGGUGUUAUGGGAAGUUAGGACUGUUACUUUGAAAAAUUAGAGUGUUUAAAGCAGGCUCACGCUUGAAUACAUUAGCAUGGAAUAAUGAAAUAGGACGUUUGAUUCUAUUUUGUUGGUUUCUAGGAUCGACGUAAUGAUUAAUAGGGAUAGUUGGGGGCAUUAGUAUUCAAUUGUCAGAGGUGAAAUUCUUGGAUUUAUUGAAGACUAACUACUGCGAAAGCAUUUGCCAAGGAUGUUUUCAUUAAUCAAGAACGAAAGUUAGGGAUCGAAGACGAUCAGAUACCGUCGUAGUCUUAACCAUAAACUAUGACCGAC